AUUGAACGCUGGCGGCAUGCUUUACACAUGCAAGUCGAACGGUAACAGGUCUUCGGAUGCUGACGAGUGGCGAACGGGUGAGUAAUGCAUCGGAACGUGCCCAGUCGUGGGGGAUAACGCAGCGAAAGCUGUGCUAAUACCGCAUACGAUCUAUGGGAUGAAAGCGGGGGAUCGCAAGACCUCGCGCGAUUGGAGCGGCCGAUGUCAGAUUAGCUAGUUGGUGGGGUAAAGGCCCACCAAGGCGACGAUCUGUAGCUGGUCUGAGAGGACGACCAGCCACACUGGGACUGAGACACGGCCCAGACUCCUACGGGAGGCAGCAGUGGGGAAUUUUGGACAAUGGGCGCAAGCCUGAUCC
rnacentral:rRNA from 1 species